AGAGCGCUUCAGAGCCUCCAGUGAACCGGAAGUCAGAGAAGAAGAAGUAAACCCCAAACAAACCUCCACAUGUGGACGAACUGAUCAAAUCUACAGUUUAAACCAGCUGAUUUAAAGUGAACAUGGACGACGAACACACGGCCGGCUUCAGGGAGCCCUGUGCUCAGUGUUCGGCGGUGGACUGGGGAGUUUCAGACGAAGGUCGUUUCUACUGCAGAUCCUGUCACAACGUCAUCGAGAGAACCAGAGAGGUGGUGGAGACGACCUUCGCUCCCGGCUCCACCCGGGUCUCCACCAUCGGCAGAGGAUCCAGGAACAAGAGGCCGGAGGGCGGUCGUCAGUGGAUGAUCUGCGAAGGUUUCCAGUUCAUCCUGAGGAACCAGGCCGACGCUCUGCUCAGACUCGGCGUCACUCCACAUUUUAAGGACCAGGUGUUGCUGCAGCUGUGGAGACUUUACCUGCAGAGGAGUCGACAGGCGUACACCAACGACCCGGUGAGGAGCUCCAGGUUUAAAGUGAGAGGUCUGGACUCGGACUCGGACAGUAUGGCCGAGUCAUCAGUGAAGUCUGCCAGCGAGACGGAUGGAGAGGCAAAUCUGUCAAGCACCGUCGGAUCUAAUGCAGCAAGCUCCAGUGAUUGGUCGCAGUGCUCGGGCUCGGUGGACGUCGUCACCUACCUGUCGGCUCGGCUGAGGCGGAGUCGUGGUCUGAUGAGCAUGAAGAAGACUCUGGCUCUGAUCCACCUCGGUCUGGUCUGGAGUCAGGAGCCGCUGACACUCAGUGACCUGCUCAGGCUGGUGAACGAAGGCCACGUCCCAUACCUGAACGCCUACGAGGAUCUGCCCGACGAGAUGAGGCUCGACGGCAGAGACGCUGUCAUCUUCAGAGUUGACAGCGUCCCGUCCCACCGGGCGGUGCACACCGAGGCCCAGGAUCUGGCUCUGUACCUGCAGCUUCCUGCUUUUCCUCCAAUCAGCCGUAAGAGUCUGCUGCACCCAGCGCUGCUCAGCGUGCGCUACCUGACCGAUGCCAACCUGCCCGACGAGCUCCACCCGUGGGUCUGCAGCCUGAUGGAGCGUGCCGGUAUGACGGAUCAAACGUUCCACACAUUCGACUCCACAACCCGUCCUAUCCUGCCGCGGUACGACGUCCAGAGCGCCGCCGUCAUCAUCGUCACCAUGAAGGUCAUCUUCGGCCUGGACGACCACACAGAGUGGGAUUUAUCCAACGAGGUUGGAGUCCAGGACGACUCAGAGGAUGUGUUUAACCUGAGGAGGUGGUACCGACUGAUGCAGGCCGCUCUGAUCAAAGCUCAGCAGAAGAGAGACCACCACAUCGCCAGGAAACAGUGGAAGGCAAAGAAACCUCUUUACCUGAACAGGAAGAUGAAAACCACUGUGAUGAAAAAGAAAAGGACAGCAGAACAGGUUCAGAUCUGCUUCAAGAAGCUGUCUUCCCGCCUGGUGGGGAUCCGGGACUGUGAGCCGUCCAGCUUCAGGUUCUGCUGGGGGGAUGAGGACGGAGCGGACGGUCCCAGUCUGCACCACAAGAAACUGGACAAGGUCGUGACCCCGAAACGCAACAUCUUGACUCCCUCUAACUCCACGUAUUGGCACCCGGCGCUCCAAGCCUGCGAUCCCCGGAAGUGCAGGAGUCAUUACUCGGAGGUGGAGGCAACGUUGCCUCGGUCGUUUGUCUGGAUGCUGCAGCUCUUCUCCUUCCUGCUCGACGUGAAGCCGGCCUACCUGUACGAGGAGGUGCUGACCGUGGAGAGACGAGUCUUCGGCGGCAAAACGCCCUUGAACGGAAAUGUGAGGAGGAAGGGGAGGAAGACCAGGACCGAGGCUAGGACUGAGACCAGGAGCAGGAGCCGGAGUGACACCAGGACGCCACAGAGAUGAUGAGAGACAAGAUGAAAAACUUUCAAGAUGAGAGACGACGACACAAAGACUGAAACAAUCUGCAGAACGAUCUCCAACAGAAUGACACAGAGAGUGAAGACCAGGACCUGUGACUGAAACCUGCACAGAAACCAAGGGAGGUGUUGUCGUUCCUACGAGAGUUUUCCACAUGAAGAAGAAAACUUCACAGCCUGUGAUCAGCUGACCUGGAAACAACACCUACACGUGCUGCAGCUUGAGGCCACGCCCACCUCCUCAGGUCCAGGUGUCCUCUGGUCACAUGUCAGCCGCAGGUGGAGGUGACUGAGUUCAAGACAUAACAAGAACUUCACUUUACAGACACUUUGAUUUUCACUGUGAAUCACAUGAAUCAGGUUCUGACUGGGUCUUUACUCAAGGAAAAAAAAUAUUCUUCUCUUCAACAUAUUGAAAACAUUUGUUACACUAUAAAAAAAGGAAAGCAAUGAGGAAACUGCAGUGGAUGAGACAUGAGUUCAAAUAAAAGAUGAUUUCUGAUGAUUUAACUCACUCUAAUUAAGGCAUUUGUUCAAGAAAAUCCCUGUUUUUGUCAGUGGAGUCUGGUAGAGAUAUAUAGAGAUGUUUCUGGUUAAACUAAAAGGAUCUGACUCUUUAAUAAAAAGCUCUGUCUCUGUAGGAA